rnacentral:rRNA from 1 species
GAUGAACGCUGGCGGCGUGCCUAAUACAUGCAAGUCGAACGAAGAUCUAGCUUGCUAGAUCUUAGUGGCGAACGGGUGAGUAAUACAUAAAUAAUCUGCCCAUAUGACUGGGAUAACUAUUGGAAACGAUAGCUAAUACCGGAUAGGUUGAUCGGAGGCAUCUCUGAUGAAUUAAAGUAGGAUUUCUACACAAAUGGAUGAGUUUAUGGCGCAUUAGUUAGUUGGUGGGGUAACGGCAUAACAAGACGAUGAUGCGUAGCCGACCUGAGAGGGUGGCCGGCCACACUGGGACUGAGACACGGCCCAGACUCCUACGGGAGGCAGCAGUAGGGAAUUUUCGGCAAUGGGCGCAAGCCUGACCGAGCAACGCCGCGUGAGUGAUUAAGGCCUUCGGGUUGUAAAGCUCUGUUGUAAGGGAAGAACAUUCAGGAUAGGAAAUGAUCUUGAACUGACGGUACCUUACCAGAAAGCCACGGCUAACUACGUGCCAGCCGCCGCGGUAA